rnacentral:rRNA from 1 species
UAGGGAAUCUUCCGCAAUGGACGCAAGUCUGACGGAGCAACGCCGCGUGAGUGAAGAAGGAUUUCGGUUCGUAAAACUCUGUUGUUAGAGAAGAACAGCGCAUAGAGUAACUGUUAUGCGUGUGACGGUAUCUAACCAGAAAGCCACGGCUAACUACGUGCCAGCAGCCGCGGUAAUACGUAGGUGGCAAGCGUUGUCCGGAUUUAUUGGGCGUAAAGCGAGCGCAGGCGGUCAAUUAAGUCUGAUGUGAAAGCCCCCGGCUCAACCGGGGAGGGUCAUUGGAAACUGGUUGACUUGAGUGCAGAAGAGGAGAGUGGAAUUCCAUGUUUAGCGGUGAAAUGCGUAGAUAUAUGGAGGAACACCAGUGGCGAAAGCGACUCUCUGGUCUGUAACUGACGCUGAGGCUCGAAAGCGUGGGUAGCAAACAGG